rnacentral:rRNA from 1 species
AUUAGAUACCCUAUUAUUUUUAAUGUGAAAUUUGAGCCUGAGUAAUAUUAGUUAUGGUCUUUAAACUUAAAGAAUUUGGCGGUAUUAUAGUCUAUUUAGAGGAAUCUGUUACUUGAUCGAUAUUCCGCGUUGUAUCUUACUUUAUUGAUUUCUUGUAUAUCGCUGUUUAUGAAAAUAUUUUUAUAUUAUUUUCUUAGAUCUAUAUUAAGUAGAAUUUCAAGUCAAGGUGCAGUAGUAUUAAAGUUUAUAAUGGAUUACAAUAAAUUUUAUUUAUAUGGAUUAUUUUUGUGAUUAAUUUUUAUGAAGGUGGAUUUAAUAGUAAUUUAAUGAAGAUUUUUUAAGUGAUUAAUAGCUCUAUAAUAUGUACACAUCGCCCG